rnacentral:rRNA from 1 species
GAUGAACGCUGGCGGCGUGCUUAAUACAUGCAAGUCGAGCGGACGGACGCGACGCUUGUUUCUCUGUUGUUAGCGGCGGACGGGAGUGUAACAUGUGGAUACUCCCCCUAACUGUCUGGUAUAAUUACGGGAAACCGUCGCUAAUACCGGAUAAUCUUCUGCACCGCAUGGUUCAAUAGUGAAAGACGGUCUUGCUGUCUCUACUCGAGGGUUCCCCGCUGCAUUAGCUAGUUGGUGAGGUAACGGCGUACCACGGCAACGAUGCAUAGCCGACCUGAGUGGAUGAGCGGCCGCACUGGAACGGUGACACGGCCCAUACUCCUGCGGGAGGCAGCAGAAGGGAAUGGGACGCAGUAGGCGGGAGCCUGGCGGAGCAACGCGACGUGAGAGAUGGAAGUCUUGGGAUCGUAAUACUCUGUUAUGAGUGGUGAACAGAUGUGGAAGUAACUGUGCAGAGCUUGACGGUACCUAAUCAAGAAGCCACGGCUAACUACGUG